GUCGAACGAUGAACCGCUUUCGGGCGGGGAUUAGUGGCGAACGGGUGAGUAACACGUGGGCAAUCUGCCCUGCACUCUGGGACAAGCCCUGGAAACGGGGUCUAAUACCGGAUAUGACCGUCUGCCGCAUGGUGGAUGGUGUAAAGCUCCGGCGGUGCAGGAUGAGCCCGCGGCCUAUCAGCUUGUUGGUGAGGUAGUGGCUCACCAAGGCGACGACGGGUAGCCGGCCUGAGAGGGCGACCGGCCACACUGGGACUGAGACACGGCCCAGACUCCUACGGGAGGCAGCAGUGGGGAAUAUUGCACAAUGGGCGAAAGCCUGAUGCAGCGACGCCGCGUGAGGGAUGACGGCCUUCGGGUUGUAAACCUCUUUCAGCAGGGAAGAAGCGAAAGUGACGGUACCUGCAGAAGAAGCGCCGGCUAACUACGUGCCAGCAGCCGCGGUAAUACGUAGGGCGCAAGCGUUGUCCGGAAUUAUUGGGCGUAAAGAGCUCGUAGGCGGCUUGUCACGUCGGUUGUGAAAGCCCGGGGCUUAACCCCGGGUCUGCAGUCGAUACGGGCAGGCUAGAGUUCGGUAGGGGAGAUCGGAAUUCCUGGUGUAGCGGUGAAAUGCGCAGAUAUCAGGAGGAAUCACCGGUGGCGACGGUGGAUCUCUGGGC
rnacentral:rRNA from 2 species